UUGGGCGUAAGGGCUCGCAGGCGGUUUCUUAAGUCUGAUGUGAAAGCCCCCGGCUCAACCGGGGAGGGUCAUUGGAAACUGGGAAACUUGAGUGCAGAAGAGGAGAGUGGAAUUCCACGUGUAGCGGUGAAAUGCGUAGAGAUGUGGAGGAACACCAGUGGCGAAGGCGACUCUCUGGUCUGUAACUGACGCUGAGGAGCGAAAGCGUGGGGAGCGAACAGGAUUAGAUACCCUGGUAGUCCACGCCGUAAACGAUGAGUGCUAAGUGUUAGGGGGUUUCCGCCCCUUAGUGCUGCAGCUAACGCAUUAAGCACUCCGCCUGGGGAGUACGGUCGCAAGACUGAAACUCAAAGGAAUUGACGGGGGCCCGCACAAGCGGUGGAGCAUGUGGUUUAAUUCGAAGCAACGCGAAGAACCUUACCAGGUCUUGACAUCCUCUGACAACCCUAGAGAUAGGGCUUUCCCUUCGGGGACAGAGUGACAGGUGGUGCAUGGUUGUCGUCAGCUCGUGUCGUGAGAUGUUGGGUUAAGUCCCGCAACGAGCGCAACCCUUGAUCUUAGUUGCCAGCAUUCAGUUGGGCACUCUAAGGUGACUGCCGGUGACAACCGGAGGAAGGUGGGGAUGACGUCAAU
rnacentral:rRNA from 1 species